GAUGAACGCUGGCGGCGUGCCUAAUACAUGCAAGUCGAGCGAACAGACGAGGAGCUUGCUCCUCUGACGUUAGCGGCGGACGGGUGAGUAACACGUGGAUAACCUACCUAUAAGACUGGGAUAACUUCGGGAAACCGGAGCUAAUACCGGAUAAUAUAUUGAACCGCAUGGUUCAAUAGUGAAAGACGGUUUUGCUGUCACUUAUAGAUGGAUCCGCGCCGCAUUAGCUAGUUGGUAAGGUAACGGCUUACCAAGGCAACAAUGCGUAGCCGACCUGAGAGGGUGAUCGGCCACACUGGAACUGAGACACGGUCCAGACUCCUACGGGAGGCAGCAGUAGGGAAUCUUCCGCAAUGGGCGAAAGCCUGACGGAGCAACGCCGCGUGAGUGAUGAAGGUCUUCGGAUCGUAAAACUCUGUUAUUAGGGAAGAACAAAUGUGUAAGUAACUAUGCACGUCUUGACGGUACCUAAUCAGAAAGCCGCGGCUAACUACGU
rnacentral:rRNA from 1 species